rnacentral:rRNA from 1 species
GAUGAACGCUGGCGGCGUGCCUAAUACAUGCAAGUCGAGCGAACGGACGAGAAGCUUGCUUCUCUGAUGUUAGCGGCGGACGGGUGAGUAACACGUGGAUAACCUACCUAUAAGACUGGGAUAACUUCGGGAAACCGGAGCUAAUACCGGAUGAUAUUUUGAACCGCAUGGUUCAAAAGUGAAAGACGGUCUUGCUGUCACUUAUAGAUGGAUCCGCGCUGCAUUAGCUAGUUGGUAAGGUAACGGCUUACCAAGGCAACGAUGCAUAGCCGACCUGAGAGGGUGAUCGGCCACACUGGAACUGAGACACGGUCCGACUCCUACGGGAGGCAGCAGUAGGGAAUCUUCCGCAAUGGGCGAAAGCCUGACGGAGCAACGCCGCGUGAGUGAUGAAGGUCUUCGGAUCGUAAAACUCUGUUAUUAGGGAAGAACAUAUGUGUAAGUAACUGUGCACAUCUUGACGGUACCUAAUCAGAAAGCCACGGCUAACUACGUG